rnacentral:lncRNA from 1 species
AAGUCGGGUAUGCCUAUUCAACAUAAACUAAGGCGCUGGGUAGAUCGUAGAUUGCCGGGUAUGAAUUCGAUUCUAAGUCGGAGAAUGCCCAUGAAUAGGGUCUUAUUACAGAAUCCGCAGUUUUGAAAGUAGCCCUAGACAGAUCAUUGCUAAGAGGAGAGCAGGGAAUUUCUUGCUAAUCAGGUCUGCAGUUUUGAAAGUAGCCCUAGGCAGAUCAUUGAUAAGAGGAGAGCAGGGAAUUUAUUGCUAAUCAGGUGCUAUCAUCGUAUUAUAAUGAUUAUUCCGAGCCAAGAAAUACUCAGUCCUCUCCUUCUCUUAGCCAAAUCCGUUCAAACAAAGGUGUGGGAUUCCCCUAAGGACCGACGGGUUAGAUCAGAGCAAGUUCCUCCCGGUGUCUUUAUUAGCUAGUAGGCUUAUUAGACAGGAUCUAACAGCAGGAACGAGCAAAGCGAGAGGCUGACUAAGG